rnacentral:rRNA from 1 species
UACGAAGGGAGCUAGCGUUGUUCGGAAUCACUGGGCGUAAAGAGCGUGUAGGCGGCUUUACAGGUCCGUUGUGAAAACUCGAGGCUCAACCUCGAGACGCCGGUGGAAACCGUAAGGCUAGAGUCCGGAAGAGGAGAGUGGAAUUCCUGGUGUAGCGGUGAAAUGCGCAGAUAUCAGGAAGAACACCCGUGGCGAAGGCGGCUCUCUGGGACGGUACUGACGCUGAGACGCGAAAGCGUGGGGAGCGAACAGG